rnacentral:rRNA from 1 species
CCUACGGGAGGCAGCAGUGGGGAAUAUUGGACAAUGGGCGGAAGCCUGAUCCAGCAACGCCGCGUGAGGGAUGACGGCCUUCGGGUUGUAAACCUCUUUCAGUAGGGACGAAUGUAGACGGUACCUACAGAAGAAGCACCGGCCAACUACGUGCCAGCAGCCGCGGUAAUACGUAGGGUGCGAGCGUUGUCCGGAAUUAUUGGGCGUAAAGGGCUCGUAGGCGGUUUGUCGCGUCAUGAGUGAAAUCCGGGUGCUUAACGCCUGGCUGGCUUGUGAUACGGGCAGACUGGAGGUAUGUAGGGGAGAACGGAAUUCCUGGUGUAGCGGUGAAAUGCGCAGAUAUCAGGAGGAACACCGGUGGCGAAGGCGGUUCUCUGGGCAUUACCUGACGCUGAGGAGCGAAAGUGUGGGGAGCGAACAGGAUUAGAUACCCUGGUAGUCCACACUGUAAACGUUGGGCGCUAGGUGUGGGACCCUUUCCACGGGUUCUGUGCCGUAGCUAACGCAUUAAGCGCCCCGCCUGGGGAGUACGGCCGCAAGGCUAAAACUCAAAUGAAUUGACGG